GCCAGGGUGGGGGUGUCCUCCUGCAGUCCCAGCUACUUGGAGGCUGGGGCAAGAGGAUCAGUGAAGUCCGGAGUUCUGGGCUCUAAUGCAUGAUGCUAAUCAGGUGUCUACACAAAGUUUGGCAUCAGUAUGGUGAUAUUCCAGGAGUAGGGGACCACCAAGGUGCCUAAGAAGGGGUGAACUGGCCCAGGUCAGAAACCAAGCAGGUCAAAACUCUCAUGCUGAUCACUCCAUGAGUAGCUGCUGCACCCCAGCCUGGGCAAUAUAGCAAGACCCCAUCUCUU
rfam:Otolemur garnettii contig102230, whole genome shotgun sequence.